rnacentral:lncRNA from 1 species
GCUCUAAAUAUUUGUCUCACUACUGCUUCAUGAAUGGAUUCCCAUUUUUGAAGUAAUAGUAGUGUAGCUUUUUUUGCCAGAAUUAACUGGGGGUUGAAAUAAUUAUUAUUUAGUGUUUAUUGCAUAGACUUAAGAUUGUCCCAAAAUUGUUGGAUCCUGGAGUCCAAUGAUGAAAACUCUUUUUGCAUACCCCUCAUGUUUAUCUCUAGUAAUUUUAGCUUUCUUCUAACUACAUACAUGCUGAACCCCUUAACAUUCUGCCUCCAUAUAGUCUCAACUGCCUUCUGAUAGAUUUCUUGUUGUAAUAAUGUUGUGAUCAAUUUGAACAAUUUUGAUUGAGCUCUUUUUAUCACCUUUGUAUUGAAUAUUAUAGCAAAGUGAUCAGAGAACUCUGGUAAUAGAUAUCCAAAUUAGGUUUCCAAGGACCCAAUUGAUAUGACAAUAAAUUCUAUUUGUUGCUUCUCUUUUGUUGCUCCAGUUGUAUUGACACCCAACCUUUGGCAUAAGUAUUACCCCAAUAUCAACUUCACAUUGUUGGAAAUCUAUGAUCUCAGAUAAGUGGACAUGGGCACCAUUCAUCCUAUUAUUCAUCCCCAACAUUGCUUUAUAAACACCAAGUAUCAACCAAGAUUUAUUCAUUUCGGCAUUUAUUCCCUUCAAUUAGUCCCACAAAGAUAUUUUAUCAACAGUUGUGUGUAGACCAUAAACAAAGGUAGAUGGCUUACAAAAUCUGAAUAUUUAUCCUGCACCCAACAAUGAAUAAGUUGAGAAGAUGGUUCAAUAACAGUUACCAUAACAUUGGUAGGUUUCAACCCAAUUCAGAUUCUACCAUUUGGGGCAUAAAAGGAGGAGUCAACAAAUUCCCAUUCUCUAUCAAUCUUCUAUUGUAUAGUAGUAGCUUUAUUUUGUUUAACUUUAGUCUCCAUACAUCCUACUAGGUUAAUUUUAUUCCUUUAUAAUAAAGAGAUUAAGCCCUCGUAUUUAAAGGUUUUAUUCAAUCCCCUAAUAUUCCAAGCACUAAAUAUCAUUUAAGGGUGUUACCAUUGCUUGUAUCCCUUUUGUCAACCAAUGGAUUCCAUGUAUCCUGCUCAAUUUCUUGGGCAUGUAUUUUAAGAGUUGCAUAGGGGUUUCUAGUAACAAUUGUUUCAAAUUCCUCCUGUGUUAGUUGCUUCUUUCCUUAGCAUACAAUAAUAUGUUCCCCUCAAUCAUUUAUUUGGGUCUGAGUUGGGCUUUCAUAUGUUUCAACAGGUAUCUGUAUUGAUGCAUUUUCCUUCCUAGUCCCACUGAUUUAUCAUUCAUGACAGGACAAUUGGAUAGUUGGAAACUUGUGCCUGUUCUUGAGAAACUGGUGUUGUAUUCUUUGUUUCUGUCUGCCCUUUUUGUCUAUUCUUCAAAAUUGUUUUCUUCUUUCUAGGUUUCUUUACCAUCUGUUCAGCCUUGUCUUUCUCUUUGCAAACCUCAGUCGUGAGCCCAAAGCUUUGACAUCUCGGACAAAAUUUUGGUUUACAUUCAUAGUCAAUUUCAUGCUCUCAUAUAAUCCCAUCUGCUCAUUCAAUAGGCAUCACAUCGAGGAGGGGUUGGGUGAGAUCCAUCUCAACCAAAAUACGUGCAUAAGAGAUCCGCUCAGUGUGAGCUGUGAGUUUAUCUGUAUAAACUGGUUUGCCUAGAUAGCUUGCCAUUCUUCCUAAGUUCUCUUUAGCCCAAAAGUAAAGUGGUAACCCAGGUAGCAAGUAGAACUCACAUCGAUUCUUUGUGCACUUUCCACAUCCAAUUCAUUUUCAUUAGGCUUAACCACUUUCAAGCCAUUCUUUAGAAUUGGGGAAAAGUAUUUCAGCUUCAAACCUUGUUGCGGUAUUCGAUUGAUUUUCACCACAUGAGCCAGGGUUGUACCCUGUACUUCAUCAGUAAUUACGUUUAGUACUCCAAGUUCUCCUGUAAAAGAUAAUUUUCUCGCUGCCGUGUCUCCACUCUUGGGGGAGGAGUCGGGUCAGACGGACCCAAGGGUUUUAGAAGAAAUUGUAAGGGGUCAAGGGCUGGAAUAGGGUUUUAUCGUGUUCAUAAUACAGUUGGUGUACUCCCCAUAUCUGGAAGCCAUUGAAACAAUCGUCUAUUCGCCAACUGUUGGGGAGCUCCAGAUUCAGGGGUGAUCAUUCGUACCGGUUGGGCAUCAUUUAUCUAUGAUUCUCGCAGAGUUUCUCUAUUGUAGUUACAGCAGUAGAAGGUUCGCUACUCUUUGGUGAGAUCGGAGUAGGGUUGUUCAAAAUCGAACCGUAAUCGUUAACCCAACCGUAAAAUUAGUUUAUUGGCUUAUUGGUAAUGGGUUAUCGGAUUAAUGGUUGGAGAACAUAUCAAAAUUUUAUAAUUAAUGGCUUAUUGGUGCAAAGACGGAUUACUCAAUUUUCUUAUCGGGUACACCGCUAACUCAUUAAGAAUUAUUAUAAUUAUAUUUUUACCCUUAGAUAUUUAAGUAUCUUUUGUCAAUCCAACAUAUAAAACUCAUUUAUU